rnacentral:snRNA from 1 species
GUGCUCGCUUCGGCAGCACAUAUGCUAAAAUUGGAAUGAUACAGAGAUCAGCGUGGCCACUGCGCAAGGAUGACACGCAAAUUCGUGAAGUGUUCCAUAUUAAA